AUAGCAAGCAUAUGAAGCCCUGAAAAAAGCAUUUAUUUUAACUAAUGAAAACCAACGCUGGAAAAGUAGGCCCAUGACAAGUAAAAAAAACGACCAAAUUUUCUGAAUAAAUAUAUAUAUCUUUAUUGAAAAUAACUUUGCAAUAAAAUAGAGUGAUGUAACCCAGACAACCGAAGAAUUUUAUACAAUCGUUUUAGACUUUAUUGUGCAUUGUUUUAACCCAUGGUCUAAUGGCUUGUAGUGUCUUGCACUUUUUUUUCCAGUGGUAUUAUGUAAGAGUCCAGUAGAUGCAGGGAUGACAUUAAAGUUCCAGUAAAACGUCACAACAAAUAAUUCCUACAUUGUAGGUAGUGUUGAUGUACGUAAGGUAUGUGCCUUAGAGAUUGCAAAAUAAAUGUCUACCCCUGGAUACAUUUUAUAAAUGAUCUCAGACAAACUGAAAGCAUGAAUUUGCACUUUCAUAGACAUUUACAAUAAACCCCAAACGUAUCCAGGAAUAUAUUCAUAUAGCAUACUAGACAAUUGUCUUUGUUUUGGGGAUGAAGUCUGUGUUUAUAAUUCCACAAGUUAAACGACCACUAUAGGCACCCAGACCACUUCAGCUUAAUGAAGUGGUCUGGGUGCCAGGUCCAGCUAGGGUUAACCCUUUUUUUUUUUUAUAAACAUAGCUGUUUCAGAGAAACUGCUAUGUUUAUAAUAGGGUUAAUCCAGCCUCCAGUGGCUGUCUCUUGACAGCCGCUAGAGGCACUUGCGUGCUUCUUACUGUGAUUUUCACAUGGUCUUAUUACACCUAAGGCACUGAUAGAUGAAUGUGUUGCUUUCCUAUUCCUUAUUUCUACUUGCAUGAAUGGGAGAUCUGGUUUUGAUGAUGGUGAAAUAUAAGAGUAGUGACAAAUACAUUAAUAGGGUUUACUAAUAUGCACAAGGGGCAUUAGUGGAUGGUGGGUUGGUGAAACAUAACACCACUCCUACAUGGUAUAUUAUGGGAAGAUGUCAAGUGAAUACAGGUAUACUUAGCAUAAAGUAGGUAAUGAUAAUACGUACAGCUAAUCAGUUGGUCUAUAUCCCAAUUAGAAAAAACAAUAUUUUUUUCUUUUAAUCAAUAUAUCGGUUUUGUUUUUUCAAACUGGAUGGGUUGCUUUGGACAUCUUUCUUAGCUAUUCUGCUCCUGCCAUGCAAGUCAGGUGAUACUGGUCCUACUUUUAACCCCCUGCCUUACGCACUAGAUAGAAUGGAGAAACCUGAACUGGAAAUUAUGUAUUUUCAUUGUAUAAAGAACAAUGCCCUCAAUUUAAUAUUUUUGGAUAUUUUUUUUUUUUUUUAAACACAGUAUUUUUCUAUAAACUUUUCAAAUGAUUUUAAUUUUUUUUUUUAA